GAGAGGUAGAUUUUCAAGGAAGCCUGUCGCACUCUCUCCGGCGCUGGGCAUGCGCAGAGCGUACUAAACCACGCGCAGUACAAGCGAGUUAAAAAAGUUUGUUGGAGCUAUGCCCAUUGAGUCCAAGAGUUGUAUAAAUAAUUGGGAUGCUGUGAAUAAAGAAAAAUACUGUUGGACACACAAAAAGUUGUUCAUUACAAAAUUAGACGAAGUGUACACGAGUAUUAUGUAUUGUUAGUGACGAAAAAUUAAAAUCGAAAUGUUUUGGUAAGAAACGUUUGGAGCAAUGGCGAAAAAAAAGUUGUGCCCAGCAGAAGUGCAGUCAGUGAAUUAUAUUGAUGAUACCGAAUUUUACUAUUCCAAAUACUGAGGAAGAUAUCGAGUCAGGGAAUUCCGAACCAUCUUCAGAUUGAUCGAAUUGGAAAUUAUUGAAUUGUAUAUUUUAUUAAUUGAUCUCUUUGUGGAA